rnacentral:rRNA from 1 species
UACGUAGGGUGCAAGCGUUGUCCGGAAUUAUUGGGCGUAAAGAGCUCGUAGGCGGUUUGUCGCGUCUGCUGUGAAAACUCGGGGCUUAACCCCGGGCCUGCAGUGGGUACGGGCAGACUAGAGUGCGGUAGGGGAGACUGGAAUUCCUGGUGUAGCGGUGAAAUGCGUAGAUAUCAGGAGGAACACCGGUGGCGAAGGCGGGUCUCUGGGCCGUAACUGACGCUGAGGAGCGAAAGCGUGGGGAGCGAACAGG